AUGCCGCUCUCCAGUCUGCUCUGGGUGCUCCUGGCCUUCCCCUUCUCUGGAUCUGGUGUAGCCCAGAAAGUUACUCAAGACCAGCCAUACGUAACCAGUCAAACAGGGCAAUCUGUCAUUCUGAACUGUCGGUAUGAAGUAAGGUGGAGUGGGUACACGCACUACCUUUUUUGGUAUAAGCAGCUUCCCAGUGGAGAGAUGACUUUGCGUAUUCGUCAGGAAUCUUCUGGCCCGAAUGCAAGGAAUGGCCGCUACUCUGUAAACUUUCAGAGAGCACAGAACUCCAUCAGCCUCACCAUUUCAGCCUUAUAG